rnacentral:rRNA from 1 species
CCUACGGGGUGCAGCAGUGAGGAAUUUUGGUCAAUGGACGAGAGUCUGAACCAGCGAAGUAGCGUGAAGGAUGAAUGCCCUAUGGGUUGUAAACUUCUUUUAUAUGGGAAUAAAAUGUUCCACGUGUGGGAUUUUGUAUGUACCAUAUGAAUAAGGAUCGACUAACUCCGUGACAGCAGCCGCGGUAAUACGGAGGAUCCGAGCGUUAGCCGGCUUUAUUGGGUUUAAAGGGAGCGUAGGUGGAUUGUUAAGUCAGUUGUGAAAGUUUGCGGCUCAACCGUAAAAUUGCAGUUGAUACUGGCAGUCUUGAGUACAGUAGGGGUGGGCGGAAUUCGUGGUGUAGCGGUGAAAUGCUUAGAUAUCACGAAGAACUCCGAUUGCGAAGGCAGUUCACUGGACUGCAACUGACACUGAGGCUCGAAAGUGUGGGUAUCAAACAGGAUUAGAUACCCGUGUAGUC